UUUGAUCUCAAAUCAGGUAGGACUACCCGCUGAACUUAAGCAUAUCAAUAAGCGGAGGAAAAGAAACUAACAAGGAUUCCCCUANUAACUGCGAGUGAAGCGGGAAGAGCUCAAAUUUAAAAUCUGGCGUGCCUCCGGCCGUCCGAGUUGUA
rnacentral:rRNA from 1 species